CACUUCUGAGGUGAUUUCAAGAUUGCUGCCCUUUUAACGGGACUGCAGCAGGGACCUAGUGUCUACACACUUUCUCGGGAAUGUUAGGACAGAAAACUUGCAAGUAACAGUAUCAGAAACUUGGCUGCAAUAUGUCUCUAAAGAUCAACUUCCUUCAUUCCCAUCUGGAUUUUUUUCAGGACAACUGUGGUAUGGUUAGUGAUAAACAUGGCCAACGCUUUCAUCACGAUAUCCCAACAGUGGAAAAAAGAUACCAUGGAAAAUUGCCCACUGCAAUGCUCGCUGACUACUGCUGGACAAUCCCCCAGAGAUGCUCCCUAACAUCUGUACAAGAGACAGGCAAAGAAAUCUCAGACGUAGUCGAUGACUUCAUUUGUUACAGUUCAUACAAUGGUCUCCCUCACUUGUAAAAAGCAGGCACGUUGGCAAUCGGCGACACACGCCGGAACACGAGGAACAACGACACACAGCCUUGCUGUGUUAAUGACAGGCGAUAGCCGUUGGGCCACCGGACCACUCUCCUAAUAUUAAAAGGAGUCUGUCCCCGUAUCAUUUAGAUACAUAAAAUACAUUGUGCAAAACACAAAAA